GACUUUUGAGGCUACUAAUAGCCAUCCUAACUUUAUCAGAGACUGGGGGAUGGAGUCAUAAGAUGGAGAAGGGGUGGUCCAGAAGGCCUUUUAUUUUAUUUUUUUUUUUGUUAGGUGCUUGGGGCUUAUCUGGAGCUUAGAGUUAGUGUUGGCUCUAAACUCUUAUCAAGGGUUUGGUGGGCCUUGGGAUGUCCCCUGGUCUGCACCUCUGAAAGCAAGUGGUGUGAAGGGUCUCUGGUUGCUGUACGUGGGAUUCCCUUUCAUCUCCUCAGCCAAGAGCACAUACAAUCAUGCUUUUAUCGCUUUAGUUACCAUCAUCAUAAUCAGCAUCUUCUCUGUUGAGGACCGAAAAUAUCGUUGGUAAUGCUAUCCACUUAUUGUCAGCAACAUCUUGCAUUCAUCAACAGGUGAUAAGGACUUGAAUGCACCCUUAGUUCUUCUCUUACAUGAGGUUCGGUCAUAGUAGAGCUAAGUGGCAAAAGCUUUGGUAAAUAUUGCUUUUACAUGACCUUGUACUCUUGAGAGGCCUAUUGAUCAGCAGUGGCCGAGUAUAUGACUGCCAGUGUCACCGUACAAUUGCCAGCUAUACUGCAUGCAAGUAGUAAUUUAGACAUUUUAUGGUGCUGUUGCUUAAUUUUUUUCAGAACAGAACAAGUCAUGCCAGAUCGGAAUUGUUCAAGUUUGGUUUGCUUAUGACGCUUGCAUGUUUCACGCAUACAUGCAGUUCUCCAAUCCAUUAAUUUAAUUACACUUGGUUUUU